CUGCCAGUAGUCAUACGCUCGUCUCAAAGAUUAAGCCAUGCAUGUGUAAGUAUAAAUAUUUAACUUUGAAACUGCGAAUGGCUCAUUAUAUCAGUUAUAGUUUAUUUGAUGAAAAGUACUACUUGGAUAACCGUAGUAAUUCUAGAGCUAAUACAUGAUAAAAUCCUCGACUUUGAAGAGGUGUAUUUAUUAGAAUGAAACCAAUAGACUUCGGUCUGUUUGUGAGUAAUAAUAACUAAUCGUAUCGCAUGCUUAGGUAGCGAUAUGUCUUUCAAGUUUCUGCCCUAUCAGCUUUGGAUGGUAGUGUAUUGGACUACCAUGGCAGUAACGGGUAACGAAGAAUUUGGGUUCGAUUUCGGAGAGGGAGCCUGAGAGAUGGCUACCACAUCCAAGGAAGGCAGCAGGCGCGUAAAUUACCCAAUCCUGACAUAGGGAGGUAGUGACAAUAAAUCACAAUGCGGAACUAUUAGUUUUGCAAUUGGAUUGAGAACAAUGUACAAAUGUUAUCGAUAAACAAUUGGAGGGCAAGUCU
rnacentral:rRNA from 1 species